CAACCCUCAAGCUCUGCUUGGUCUUGGGCGUCACCGGUCCGCCGGUGUGCCCUAAAAUCAGUGGCGGCGCCAUCUGGCUCUAAGCGUAGUACAUACUCUCGCUACAGACGUCCGGUGGAUGCUGGCCAGCAACCCCCAAUUUAUCAG
rnacentral:misc_RNA from 1 species